rnacentral:misc_RNA from 1 species
UCUCCGUAGGUGAACCUGCGGAGGGAUCAUUACUGAGUGAGGGCUUCGGUCCGACCUCCAACCCUUUGUGAACUACAACUCUGUUGCUUCGGGGGCGACCCCGCCGUUUCGGCGGUGGCGCUCCCGGUGGCCAUUAAACACUGCAUCAUUGCGUCGGAGUCUUAAAGAAAUUUAAACAAAACUUUCAACAACGGAUCUCUUGGUUCUGGCAUCGAUGAAGAACGCAGC